GGGAGCAAACGGAUUAGAUACCCCGGUAGUCACGCCGUAAACGAUGUCUACUAGCCGUUGGAGGACUUGAUCCUUUAGUGGCGCAGCUAACGCGAUAAGUAGACCGCCUGGGGAGUACGGUCGCAAGAUUAAAACUCAAAUGAAUUGACGGGGGCCCGCACAAGCGGUGGAGCAUGUGGUUUAAUUCGAAGCAACGCGAAGAACCUUACCUACUCUUGACAUCCAGUGAACUUUUGAGAGAUCAAUUGGUGCCUUCGGGAACACUGAGACAGGUGCUGCAUGGCUGUCGUCAGCUCGUGUUGUGAAAUGUUGGGUUAAGUCCCGUAACGAGCGCAACCCUUGUCCUUAGUUACCAUCAUUAAGUUGGGGACUCUAAGGAGACUGCCGGUGACAAACCGGAGGAAGGCGGGGACGACGUCAAGUCAUCAUGGCCCUUACGAGUAGGGCUACACACGUGCUACAAUGGCAUGUACAAAGGGUUGCCAAGCCGCGAGGUGGAGCUAAUCCCAUAAAGCAUGUCGUAGCCCGGAUUGGAGUCUGCAACUCGACUCCAUGAAGUCGGAAUCGCUAGUAAUCGUGAAUCAGAAUGUCACGGUGAAUACGUUCCCGGGCCUUGUACACACCGCCCGUCACACCAUGGGAGUGGGUUGCUCCAGAAGUAGAUAGCUUAACCUUCGGGAGGGCGUU
rnacentral:rRNA from 1 species